UGAGGAAUAUUGCGCAAUGGGCGCAAGCCUGAUCCAGCCAUGCCGCGUGCGGGAAGAAGGCCUUCGGGUUGUAAACCGCUUUUGUCAGGGAAGAAACGCUCUGGGCUAAUACCCUGGGGUAAUGACGGUACCUGAAGAAUAAGCACCGGCUAACUACGUGCCAGCAGCCGCGGUAAUACGUAGGGUGCAAGCGUUAAUCGGAAUUACUGGGCGUAAAGCGUGCGCAGGCGGUUAUGCAAGACAGAUGUGAAAUCCCCGGGCUCAACCUGGGAACUGCAUUUGUGACUGUAUAGCUAGAGUACGGUAGAGGGGGAUGGAAUUCCGCGUGUAGCAGUGAAAUGCGUAGAUAUGCGGAGGAACACCGAUGGCGAAGGCAAUCCCCUGGACCUGUACUGACGCUCAUGCACGAAAGCGUGGGGAGCAAACAGGAUUAGAUACCCUUGUAGUCCCUGAGCGGGCUGGCAAGGCGCAU
rnacentral:rRNA from 1 species